GUGAACGCUGGCGGUGCGCCUAACACAUGCAAGUCGAGUGGGUUUAGACCCACGGCGAACGGCUGCGUAACACGUUGGUACCUGCCCCGAACUCAGGGAUAUCCCGCCGAAAGGCGGAGUAAUACCGGAUGCCCUCGCAAGAGGAAAGCUUUCGCGGUUCGGGAGGGGCCUGCGGCCUAUCAGAUAGUUGGUGAGGUAACGGCUCACCAAGUCUAUGACGGGUAGCUGGUCUGAGAGGACGACCAGCCAGAAUGGAACUGAGAACGGUCCAUACUCCUACGGGAGGCAGCAGUGAGGAAUCUUCCGCAAUGGGCGAAAGCCUGACGGAGCGACACCGCGUGGGGGAUGAAGCCCUUUCCGGGUGUAAACCCCUGUUGUGAGGGACGAAAUUUUUGACGGUACCUCACGAGAAAGCACCGGCUAAUUCUGUGCCAGCAGCCGCGGUAAGACAGAAGGUGCAAGCGUUACUCGGAAUUACUGGGCGUAAAGCGUCUGCAGGUGUCCCAUCAAGUCUCCUGUAAAAGCACGGAGCCUAACUCCGUGUACGUAGGGGAAACUGACGGGAUCGAGAGACUCUAGAGGCAUCUGGAAUGUCGUGUGUAGGGGUAAAAUCCGUAGAUCCACGAUGGAACGCCAAAAGCGAAGGCAGGAUGCUACAAGUCUUCUGACACUCAGAGACGAAAGCGUGGGGAGCAAAGGGGAUUAGAUACCCCCGUAGUCCACGCCCUAAACGAUGCGGGCUCGGUGUGGGAACGUUUCAAUUCGUUCCCGUGCCUCAGCUAACGCGGUAAGCCCGCCGCCUGGGAAGUACGGCCGCAAGGCUAAAACUCAAAGGAAUAGACGGGGACCCACACAAGCGGUGGAGCAUGGGGUUCAAUUCGAUGGUAAACGAAGAACCUCACCCAGGCUUGACAUCUUCGGAAUCUGGCCGAAAGGUCGGAGUGCCGCAAGGAACCGAAAGACAGGCGAUGCACGGUCGUCGUCAGCUCGUGCCUUGAGGUGUACUGUUAAGUCAGCGAACGAGCGCAACCCUCAUCCUAUGUUGUACUUUCUUAGGAGACUGCCGCCUCCAAGGCGGAGGAAGGUGGGGAUGACGUCAGAUCAGCGUGUCCCUUAUGCCUGGGGCUACACCCAUGCUACAAUGGGCGGUACAAAGGGCUGCAAACCCGUCAGGGGGAGCAAAUCCCACCAAAACCGCUCUCAGUUCGGAUUGAAGGCUGCAACUCGCCUUCAUGAAGUUGGAAUCGCUAGUAACCGUGGGUCAGCCACACCACGGUGAAUAUGUU
rnacentral:rRNA from 1 species